rnacentral:rRNA from 1 species
AGAUUGAACGCUGGCGGCAGGCCUAACACAUGCAAGUCGAGCGGCAGCACGGGUACUUGUACCUGGUGGCGAGCGGCGGACGGGUGAGUAAUGCCUAGGAAUCUGCCUGGUAGUGGGGGAUAACGCUCGGAAACGGACGCUAAUACCGCAUACGUCCUACGGGAGAAAGCAGGGGACCUUCGGGCCUUGCGCUAUCAGAUGAGCCUAGGUCGGAUUAGCUAGUUGGUGAGGUAAUGGCUCACCAAGGCGACGAUCCGUAACUGGUCUGAGAGGAUGAUCAGUCACACUGGAACUGA